rnacentral:lncRNA from 1 species
CUCGAGACGGACCUCCAGGGCAGAAGCCCUGGCAGGAGAACUCCUCGAAAGAGCUCGGGGGGCUGAAGGCUCGACGUCGUAAGGGACGUCGACGGCGAGGGCCACCCGGGCAACUUCUACGUCCGUGCCUGUAACAAGAGAAAAGAAAGAAGGAAAUCCUGAAAAAUCGAGAAAGAUUGUGAAUAAACUCUCGAAAGGUAAACAAACAAGGC